GAGGUUGGCUAGAUCCUAGAUGGAUUGAUUUCUGGUAACGCUUUCCCUUCUGCUAGGAUAACAUUAUCAAUUUCAAUUUUCAAGGUCGGAGAUCUCAAUCAAUAUCCGAUAACCACCAGUCCCCCAAAUUCAAGACUUGCAGAGCAAAUGAUCUUCAAUUGAGGUAAGAACUUGUGUCCUUCUAGCAGGGUUAAAUGCUGAGAAUCAGUGGAUAUUUUGUUUUCCUUAGGGAUGUUUGGCUACUUAUGUGCUUAGCAGAUAUUUAAAAAAUUAAAGGGAGCAAUUGGUAGUUGAUGGGAUACCUAUUAACAGCAGCUGAUUCUAUCAACUUUAAAAUAGGAAUUGGUUCAAAUCUGCCCUAUGUUUUUUUUUUUUUU
rnacentral:misc_RNA from 1 species